rnacentral:rRNA from 1 species
AACGAACGCUGGCGGCAUGCCUAACACAUGCAAGUCGAACGGGAUCCUAGCUUGCUAGGUGAGAGUGGCGGACGGGUGAGUAACACGUGGGAAUCUGCCUUUUGGUUCGGGAUAACCGCGGGAAACUGCGGCUAAUACCGAAUGCCCUCGAGAGAGGAAAGAUUUAUCGCCAGAAGAGGAGCCCGCGUCCGAUUAGGUAGUUGGUGGGGUAAAGGCCUACCAAGCCGACGAUCGGUAGCUGGUCUGAGAGGAUGAUCAGCCACACUGGGACUGAGAUACGGCCCAGACUCCUACGGGAGGCAGCAGUGGGGAAUAUUGGACAAUGGGGCAACCCUGAUCCAGCAAUGCCGCGUGAGUGAUGAAGGCCUUAGGGUUGUAAAGAUCUUUCAGUGGGGAAGAUAAUGACGGUACCCACAGAAGAAGCCCCGGCUAACUCCGUGCCAGCAGCCGCGGUAAU